rnacentral:rRNA from 1 species
GUACACGCUGUGACUAGCAUAUCAAUAAGCGGAGGAAAAGAAACUAACAAGGAUUCCCCUAGUAACGGCGAGUGAAGCGGGAAGAGCUCAAAUUUGAAAUCUUAAAGGGUUUCCCUUUACGAAUUGUAGUUUAAAGAAGUGUUUUCUGUUGAGGUUUUGGUAAAAGUUCUUUGGAAUAGGACAUCAUAGAGGGUGAGAAUCCCGUAUUUGAGCCUUUACUUUCAACUUUGUGAUACACUUUCAAAGAGUCGGAUUGUUUGGGAAUGCAGUCCAAAAUGGGUGGUAAAUUUCAUCUAAAGCUAAAUAUUGGCGAGAGACCGAUAGCGAACAAGUACCGUGAGGGAAAGAUGAAAAGAACUUUGAAAAGAGAGUUAAACAGUACGUGAAAUUGUCAAAAGGGAAGCGUUUGACACCAGUGUUGUUUUUCUGAAAAUCAAUUAAAGAACUGUUUAUGCUAAGUUGUUUAGACUUUAUCAGCUAACUGUUUAGUUUUGAGCUUUUCUUUAAUGCACUUUUCAGUUAACAAGUCAACAUCAAUUUCUUUUGCUGUAAAAAAGCUUGAGGAAGGUGGCUUGAGAUUCGUCUUAAGUGUUUAUAGGCCUCUUGCCUAUGCAGUCGGAGAGAUUGAGGUCUGCAGCGUAGAUCCUUCGGGGCUAAAUGCAUUUGUGCUAAGUUAUAGCAUUUUAUAGACAACUUGUUGACUAUGAUUUGUCUUGUAGCUUACUCGCUUAUGUUAUUUUACCUACGCUUAGGAUGUUGACAGCAGUAUAGACUGU